rnacentral:rRNA from 1 species
CAGCCGCCGCGGUAAUACGAAGGGGGCUAGCGUUGUUCGGAAUCACAGGGCGUAAAGGGUGCGUAGGCGGAUUCUUAAGUCAGGGGUGAAAUCCCGAGGCUCAACCUCGGAACUGCCUUUGAUACUGGGGAUCUUGAGUCCGGAAGAGGUGAGCGGAACUGCGAGUGUAGAGGUGAAAUUCGUAGAUAUUCGCAAGAACACCGGUGGCGAAGGCGGCUCACUGGUCCGGAACUGACGCUGAGGCACGACAGCGUGGGGAGCAAACAGGAUUAGAUACCCGAGUAGUCCCUGUCUCUUAUAC